rnacentral:lncRNA from 1 species
AGCAGACAUGAAUAGUCCCUCCUGUUGUUUGGUUGCUAGCGUAUCUGUUAGAGCAAAUAUAGUGGCUUUACAGUCACCAUUUCGUGCGGAAUCGUUCGCAAUCAACUUCUAGCAAGCAAGACAAGUAACGACUGUUAUCGCCAUGCAUUGUUUCAAGUUCCUCUUUGUGUUUGCUUUGCUUACGUGUUUGAUGGACUCGUGUGAUGGUGUCGGUCCCGGUAGUGGCUAUGGAGGUCGCAUGAGAUCCAAGAGAGGAGUUGGGGAGAAAGCUAAAGAUCCAAAUAUUCGGGACAAAAGGUAACUGUUUCCAAUGUGGAAGAAACGUCUUCCUCACCGAAGCUUUAAAGAAGAGGACAAAAAGCGAUUCGACUGAGUCCAUGUCUGUGGAAAGCUGCAUUGAGCUACCGGCGACCAGUUAUGCUUCAUCAAUCAAGUUUUUUUCUCGUAUUAAUUAUAUUAAAAAUAGACUAGACAGCUCUAUGACAAAUAGUUCAUACAAGAUGGAUGCGGUGUUAAUCAGUAACUCUGAGACCCUUAAAAGAAAUAAGCACCAGCUGAACAGCAAAUAUAGGAUUUCUUUUGCUGAACUGUAACCUCUAAAAUGAUAUUAAAUGACGUGGAUCUACCGUUGAA